rnacentral:tRNA from 1 species
GAGGGUCUAGCUCAGUGGUAGAGCACGUGCUUAGCAUGCACAAAGUCCUGGGUUCAGUCCCCAGUACCUCCA